GAUGAACGCUAGCUACAGGCUUAACACAUGCAAGUCGAGGGACCGGCGCACGGGUGAGUCACACGUAUCCAACCUUCCCUUUACUCUUGGAUAGCCUUUCGAGAGGAAGAUUAAUACCCGAUGGAAACGAUGGUGAUGCGGUGCAUUAGGUUGUUGGUGAGGUAACCGCUCACCAAGCCUUCGAUGGAUAGGGGUUCUGAUAGGAAGGCCCCCCACAUUGGAACUGAGACACGGGCUAUACGCCUACGGGAGGCAGGAGUAAGGGAUAAUGGUCAAUGGGCGUUAGCCUGAACCAGCCAAGUAGCGGGAAGGAUGAAGGCUUAUUGGUCGUAAACGUCUUUUAUAGAAGAAGAUGUACUAGAUGAAUAAGGAUCGGCUAACUCCGUGCCAGCAGCCGCGGUAAUUC
rnacentral:rRNA from 1 species